rnacentral:tRNA from 1 species
AAAACCGUCUUGUCCAAAGGCGUUAAAAGGAUGUUCGAUUGCUUUUGACAAGGGCCGGAGGAAAGUGGCAAUAGCG